rnacentral:rRNA from 1 species
GGGUGAGUAACACGUGGGUAACCUGCCUGUAAGACUGGGAUAACUCCGGGAAACCGGAGCUAAUACCGGAUAGUUCCUUGAACCGCAUGGUUCAAGGAUGAAAGACGGUUUCGGCUGUCACUUACAGAUGGACCCGCGGCGCAUUAGCUAGUUGGUGGGGUAAUGGCUCACCAAGGCGACGAUGCGUAGCCGACCUGAGAGGGUGAUCGGCCACACUGGGACUGAGACACGGCCCAGACUCCUACGGGAGGCAGCAGUAGGGAAUCUUCCGCAAUGGACGAAAGUCUGACGGAGCAACGCCGCGUGAGUGAUGAAGGUUUUCGGAUCGUAAAGCUCUGUUGUUAGGGAAGAACAAGUGCGAGAGUAACUGCUCGCACCUUGACGGUACCUAACCAGAAAGCCACGGCUAACUACGUGCCAGCAGCCGCGGUAAUACGUAGGUGGCAAGCGUUGUCCGGAAUUAUUGGGCGUAAAGGGCUCGCAGGCGGUUUCUUAAGUCUGAUGUGAAAGCCCCCGGCUCAACCGGGGAGGGUCAUUGGAAACUGGGAAACUUGAGUGCAGAAGAGGAGAGUGGAAUUCCACGUGUAGCGGUGAAAUGCGUAGAGAUGUGGAGGAACACCAGUGGCGAAGGCGACUCUCUGGUCUGUAACUGACGCUGAGGAGCGAAAGCGUGGGGAGCGAACAGGAUUAGAUACCCUGGUAGUCCACGCCGUAAACGAUGAGUGCUAAGUGUUAGGGGGUUUCCGCCCCUUAGUGCUGCAGCUAACGC